UAAUUAACACUAACUUUUAUUUAUUUAUUAGAAAAAAAACCGCAGAAGUCCUAGUAAAAAAAUUAUAUUUAAUUUUGAAUAAUUUAAAUACAAAUCCGGAGAUGACAGGCUGAAAGGUGCCAGAGCUCAGAGCUCCAAUUUUUCUCACUAAAUUUUUGUCCCUCUGCAAGCUGUGCAAAUCUCACACAUUUUACGAGAAACCUGAAGCUUCGACGGAAGAGAUCGUCGGAAGUUGCAGAAGCUCAAGUGCUUCGCUGGGAAGGUCUAAACUCCGGCAAUGUGUAACUCACGCGCUCUAGUUUCAGUUGCUCUUCUUUUUAGCUUGGCUGUAGCUUCGGUCUCUGCUCAGGAAUCUGGUUCCAAGAUUCAUGGGAAACACUUAGCGGUAUUGUGUUUUUAUAGCUCUCAGUAUUUUGUGCCUUUUUCGUUUUGUUUAUGUUAUAUGCUGUACUUGAAGGAUUGAUUGUGCUUUGUUGAGAAACUAUCUUUGGAUGCUGAUAAACCAGUGGAAAGAUGAAAUGGAGUUCUUUUUUAUUUAUUUCUUUUUGGGGGGGGGGGGGGGGGGGUUCUCGUUUUUUUAGGCGAUCACAAACUGUUAUGCUGUUUGAACUGAGUGCGGUUUUGAUUAGACUUGGUUUAUUGAGCUCUAGAGUGGAAAUGGAAUGAAAAAUUGGGAGAUUUGAUUUUUCUUCUUGCAUUUUAAUUUUCCCUUUUUAUUUUCCAUAACUGGUUGGAGACGUUUCUUGUGAAUUUCUUUUUUGUUAUGAGAACUGGAAAGGGUGCAAGUUUGAAGUGACAUUUAUGAGUUGUGCUGCAGACGGCAGCAACUUACAUGUGGUGGGUUUAAAUAUUUCAAAACCGUUGGGUUAAUUGAAAUCUAUAGCUAAAUUUGUUUUUUUUUGGCUGAUUUGCUGCGCUGUCUUUAACAUAGUUUCAUUAUAGCACCUAACUAGGUCAGUUCUAUCAGCACCCUCGUUUAUGGAAUGUAGUUGGUCAAUUCACAUAUAUCAGGUUUCUAUACUUUCAAUUGGUUAAAGGAGAGAUAUGUCACUUUUUUCGUUUCGUUGAGCCGGUUUGGCUAUCAAAUAUUGGCUCUACUGAAGAUGAACGAGUUGAAUGGGUAUCAAAUUGCUUCGUAGAUUCAAAUCCAGUUCAAAUGUGGUUAUUGCCAUACCAUUUGAGUGAGUAUUGGAGGCUUGUAAUAAUUAAUUAUGAUCAUCAAUUAUGCUAUUAUUUGGAUUUUUUUGGCAAUUUCCCACUAGAUGAAAUUUAAUCCCUCAUUUUUAGGUAAUAAUCCAACCUAUUAAUUUUAUACUCUUGAAUUCAUUUAAAACUUUACUGUAUCUAAAUGUUUAUAUAUUUAUAUUGCAUAGUGUCUUUCAACGUUUGCGCACAAAUAAUGCGAAAACUAAGGAAGUUGUGUGGAGAAGUGUUAAGUGUUCAACCAGUAAAAUCAGUUCAAUGUGGAUUCUAUAUUAUAAGGAUGAUAAAAGACUUUGUCAAGAAUGAGGCUCCAACAAAAUGGCUAACUAGUAGCUGUGGCGGGAAGAUCUCUUACACAAAGGAAGAGAUCAAUGAAGUACGUGAAGAAUGGGCACAAUAUGUCAUGGAGUUUUUAAAUACUACAUGAUAAAUCUAUUCAUAUUUUGGCUAACCAAUUGAAAUAUGCAUGAGACUCAUUAUUUUGGAUAAUUAAUUCAAAUUUAGUCAUUUUAUUGUAAUUAACAAUGUUCUGGACGUUUUGUAUAAAAACAAGAAUUUUUUUGG